rnacentral:rRNA from 1 species
GUGGAUUAGAUACCCUGGUAGUCCACGCCGUAAACGAUGGGCACUAGGUGUAGGAGGUAUUGACCCCUUCUGUGCCGAAGCUAACGCAUUAAGUGCCCCGCCUGGGGAGUACGGCCGCAAGGCUAAAACUCAAAGGAAUUGACGGGGGCCCGCACAAGCGGUGGAGCAUGUGGUUUAAUUCGACGCAACGCGAAGAACCUUACCUGGGUUUGACAUCCGCUGACAGUCCUGGAGACAGGAUCUUCCCCGCAAGGGGACAGCGAGACAGGUGCUGCACGGCUGUCGCCAGCU